rnacentral:ncRNA from 1 species
CAAAGGUUUGGUCCUAACUUUACUAUCAACUUUAGCUAAAUUUACACAUGCAAGUAUCCGCGCCCCUGUGAGAAUGCCCUUCGUACUCCGCCAGAGGACAAGGAGCUGGUAUCAGGCACACUCUUAUGCCCACGACGCCUUGUUAAGCCACACCCCCAAGGGAACCCAGCAGUGAUAGACAUUAAGCCAUAAGUGAAAACUUGACUUAGUUAAAGCUAAGAGGGCCGGUAAAACUCGUGCCAGCCACCGCGGUUAUACGAGUGACCCAAGCUGAUGAACACCGGCGUAAAGAGUGGUUAAGGAGUUCUACAAAAUAAAGCCGAAAACCCUCAAAGCUGUUAUACGCACCCGAAGGCAAUAAGCUCAACCACGAAAGUGGCUUUACCCCCCCCCCCCGAACCACGAAAGCUAGGACACAAACUGGGAUUAGAUACCCCACUAUGCCUUGCCCUAAACAUUGAUAGCUGAACACACCGGCUAUCCGCCCGGGUACUACGAGCGUAAGCUUAAAACCCAAAGGACUUGGCGGUGCUUUAGACCCACCUAGAGGAGCCUGUUCUAGAACCGACAACCCCCGUUCAACCUCACCCCUCCUUGUUUUUCCCGCCUAUAUACCACCGUCACCAGCUUACCCUCUGAGGGUAAAAUAGUAAGCAAAACCGGCACAGCCCUAAACGUCAGGUCGAGGUGUAGCGCAUGGAGGGGGAAGAAAUGGGCUACAUUCCCUAAUGAAGCGAAUACGAAUGAUGAACUGAAAUGUUUGUACUGAAGGAGGAUUUAGCAGUAAGCAGAGAAUAGAGUGCUCUGCUGAAAUCGGCCCUGAAGCGCGCACACACCGCCCGUCACUCUCCCCAAGAUUAACAAAUGAAUUUACUAAACCACUAAAAAAACAAAGGGGAGGCAAGUCGUAACAUGGUAAGUGUACCGGAAGGUGCACUUGGAAAAAU